UACAGAGGGUGCGAGCGUUGUUCGGAAUUAUUGGGCGUAAAGGGCGCGUAGGCGGUGCGGUAAGUCACCUGUGAAAUCUCCUGGCUCAACUGGGAGCUUGCAGGCGAAACUGCCGUGCUGGAGUGUGGGAGAGGUGAGUGGAAUUCCCGGUGUAGCGGUGAAAUUCGUAGAUAUUCGCAGGAACACCAGUGGCGAAGGCGGCUUACUGGUCCAUAACUGACGCUGAGGUGCGAAAGCGUGGGGAGCAAACAGG
rnacentral:rRNA from 1 species